rnacentral:rRNA from 1 species
AGAGUUUGAUCAUGGCUCAGAACGAACGCUGGCGGCAGGCUUAACACAUGCAAGUCGAGCGCCCCGCAAGGGGAGCGGCAGACGGGUGAGUAACGCGUGGGAAUCUACCCUUUGCUACGGAAUAACGCAUGGAAACGUGUGCUAAUACCGUAUGUGUCCUUCGGGAGAAAGAUUUAUCGGCAAAGGAUGAGCCCGCGUUGGAUUAGCUAGUUGGUGGGGUAAAGGCCUACCAAGGCGACGAUCCAUAGCUGGUCUGAGAGGAUGAUCAGCCACAUUGGGACUGAGACACGGCCCAAACUCCUACGGGAGGCAGCAGUGGGGAAUAUUGGACAAUGGGCGCAAGCCUGAUCCAGCCAUGCCGCGUGAGUGAUGAAGGCCUUAGGGUUGUAAAGCUCUUUCACCGGAGAAGAUAAUGACGGUAUCCGGAGAAGAAGCCCCGGCUAACUUCGUGCCAGCAGCCGCGGUAAUACGAAGGGGGCUAGCGUUGUUCGGAUUUACUGGGCGUAAAGCGCACGUAGGCGGAUCGAUCAGUCAGGGGUGAAAUCCCAGAGCUCAACUCUGGAACUGCCUUUGAUACUGUCGAUCUGGAGUAUGGAAGAGGUGAGUGGAAUUCCGAGUGUAGAGGUGAAAUUCGUAGAUAUUCGGAGGAACACCAGUGGCGAAGGCGGCUCACUGGUCCAUUACUGACGCUGAGGUGCGAAAGCGUGGGGAGCAAACAGGAUUAGAUACCCUAGUAGUCC